UAAUACAUGCAAGUCGAGCGAACGGACGAGAAGCUUGCUUCUCUGAUGUUAGCGGCGGACGGGUGAGUAACACGUGGAUAACCUACCUAUAAGACUGGGAUAACUUCGGGAAACCGGAGCUAAUACCGGAUAAUAUUUUGAACCGCAUGGUUCAAAAGUGAAAGACGGUCUUGCUGUCACUUAUAGAUGGAUCCGCGCUGCAUUAGCUAGUUGGUAAGGUAACGGCUUACCAAGGCAACGAUGCAUAGCCGACCUGAGAGGGUGAUCGGCCACACUGGAACUGAGACACGGUCCAGACUCCUACGGGAGGCAGCAGUAGGGAAUCUUCCGCAAUGGGCGAAAGCCUGACGGAGCAACGCCGCGUGAGUGAUGAAGGUCUUCGGAUCGUAAAACUCUGUUAUUAGGGAAGAACAUAUGUGUAAGUAACUGUGCACAUCUUGACGGUACCUAAUCAGAAAGCCACGGCUAACUACGUGCCAGCAGCCGCGGUAAUACGUAGGUGGCAAGCGUUAUCCGGAAUUAUUGGGCGUAAAGCGCGCGUAGGCGGUUUUUUAAGUCUGAUGUGAAAGCCCACGGCUCAACCGUGGAGGGUCAUUGGAAACUGGAAAACUUGAGUGCAGAAGAGGAAAGUGGAAUUCCAUGUGUAGCGGUGAAAUGCGCAGAGAUAUGGAGGAACACCAGUGGCGAAGGCGACUUUCUGG
rnacentral:rRNA from 1 species